UAAUGAUGUGGCACAAUAUUA
rnacentral:miRNA from 1 species